rnacentral:rRNA from 1 species
GACGAACGCUGGCGGCGUGCUUAACACAUGCAAGUCGAGCGAUGAAGCUCCUUCGGGAGUGGAUUAGCGGCGGACGGGUGAGUAACACGUGGGUAACCUGCCUCAUAGAGGGGAAUAGCCUUCCGAAAGGAAGAUUAAUACCGCAUAAGAUUGUAGUACCGCAUGGUACAGCAAUUAAAGGAGUGAUCCGCUAUGAGAUGGACCCGCGUCGCAUUAGCUAGUUGGUGAGGUAACGGCUCACCAAGGCGACGAUGCGUGGCCGACCUGAGAGGGUGAUCGGCCACAUUGGGACUGAGACACGGCCCAGACUCCUACGGGAGGCAGCAGUGGGGAAUAUUGCGCAAUGGGGGAAACCCUGAUGCAGCAACGCCGCGUGAGUGAUGACGGUCUUCGGAUUGUAAAGCUCUGUCUUCAGGGACGAUAAUGACGGUACCUGAGGAGGAAGCCACGGCUAACUACGUGCCAGCCGCCGCGGUAAGAC